CUUUAGUCGCGCAGCAUAGGUGGGAGGCUUUGAAGAUAUUCUUGCGGGAAUGUUGGAGCUAUCAGUGAGAUACCACUCUUCUAAUGUUAGAUUUCUAACUUUGAACCAUUAUCUGGUCAAAGGACAGUUUCAGGCGGGCAGUUUGACUGGGGCGGUCGCCUCCUAAAUGGUAACGGAGGCGUACAAAGGUUUCCUCUGAACGGGUAGAAAUCGUAUCUAGAGUGUAAAGGCAUAAGGAAGCUUGACUGUGAGACCUACAAGUCGAACAGGGACGAAAGUCGGUCUUAGUGAUCUGACGGUACUGAGUGGAAAGGCCGUCACUCAACGGAUAAAAGUUACUCUAGGGAUAACA
rnacentral:rRNA from 1 species